ACAAGAGAGGCGUAACCCAGAAAUGGUGACAGACCACAGAACCCAACAGCACUCCCAGAAGUACCAGCAGCAAACACAAGCAAGACAAGCAGAGACCAGACCCAGAGCUCUGGUCAUCACCUUAACAAGAAAAAGCAUCCUUUCUUUGGAAGCCUUUCCUUCUGUUCUGGAGAAUUAGAAAGGAGAAGGAACAAUCUGUCAACGCAAUUAUUUUGUUGUAUUUGUGUAUAAAAAAUAACCCAAAGAGUAUGGAUUGGAAACUGCACUGAGAACUGACAAGAAUGCCUACAAAAGAAAUACACAAUGUUCAGCCAGAUCCAGAUGAGCUCCAGACAUCUGCAUGCCAGUUAAUGUGACAAACACCUGCUCAAACAAGACAAGAAAAACAAUCAAACAAGAAAAACAGCAACAGAAGACCCACCACAGUAAGGUACCUUCCAGAACCUGAAUCAGAACCGCCACAGUAGCCUUGUGAAUCCAUUCUGGUUCAAGCCAAUACAAACAAAGCUGCAUUCACAUUCAGCCACAGAAACUUAGGCUACGGCUGCUUUCCAAGGUGCAUCAGCGCUCUACUUUCCAUUCUAACAGCUGACAACCGCCUAAAUUAUUUCAUUAGCGCCUCAAAUUUCAUUCCAGACAACUUCCCUUCAGAAGAUACUUCCAAGCCCCAGCCUGCAGCCCUCUGGGCCUUUUCUACUGCUAGAAGGAUAUCAAAAGGAGAACUGAUGUUUUUAAUGACUUGUCUGCUAUCAGCAGUAAUCAUCACGUGUGCAGCAAUCAAGAAGCACAGACUGCUGAUGUGACAGCCGGAGUACAUGGACAUGUUCCUGAAAAUAUGACUUUCCCCAGAGCCUCUGACAAAGGUUUAUGUUAAGACGGACUUCACUGGCAUCAAGCUGCUCAUCUGGAAGCGUUGUCAGGACCAUUUGUCACGGCAAACACAAGCACUGAAAACAGACAGCAAGCAAGAGAAGUCUCUUACAUCAACAGAGAGGAAAAAAGGUUAUUCUGUUUCUGUAGCUGAAGCUUGUCAGCGCACAGCACUCUGCUGAUAAGCAGCAAGUUUCAGGAAGUGACAUGCAGGCUGAGUACUUUGAGCCUUUUCUUGAUCAGAAAGACAGACAAACCUCCCCGCGCUCAGCACUAACCACAGGCGCCUACUGCCCUGAGAAUGGGCGCAGGCCGUCUUCCUUCUGACUGAGGCACGUUUAAGCAGCUCCACCACGAGCACUGCACCUCGCUGCUCUGACAGCAACUGCUUUUCACACCUACCAAUUGUUGCUUACGUCCUGUUGAGCUGGUGGAUCAAUGGUGCACCUGCAGGACAAGUCUGUUUUGAUUUUGGUUUGGUUGUUUGUAGGUUUUUUUCUUUUUUUCUAUUGCUUUUGUUGUUGUUAUUUUUUAAAAGUGCCUUUUUCAAGCUAGAACUGUUACAGAGGGUGCAAAACCUGAAGCCAAGCUGUAAUACCAAUAAUAACACCUCUUCUCUUUGCUCGUU
rnacentral:lncRNA from 7 species